rnacentral:rRNA from 1 species
UACGUAGGUGGCGAGCGUUGUCCGGAUUUAUUGGGCGUAAAGCGAGCGCAGGUGGUUUAUUAAGUCUGGUGUAAAAGGCAGUGGCUCAACCAUUGUAUGCAUUGGAAACUGGUAGACUUGAGUGCAGGAGAGGAGAGUGGAAUUCCAUGUGUAGCGGUGAAAUGCGUAGAUAUAUGGAGGAACACCGGUGGCGAAAGCGGCUCUCUGGCCUGUAACUGACACUGAGGCUCGAAAGCGUGGGGAGCAAAUAGG